rnacentral:rRNA from 1 species
GAUGAACGCUGGCGGCGUGCCUAAUACAUGCAAGUCGAGCGAACGGACGAGAAGCUUGCUUUUCUGAUGUUAGCGGCGGACUGGUGAGUAAGACGUGGAUAACCUACCUAUAAGACUGGGAUAACUUCGGGAAACCGGAGCUAAUACCGGAUAAUAUUUUGAACCGCAUGGUUCAAAAGUGAAAGACGGUCUUGCUGUCACUUAUAGAUGGAUCCGCGCUGCAUUAGCUAGUUGGUAAGGUAACGGCUUACCAAGGCAACGAUGCAUAGCCGACCUGAGAGGGUGAUCGGCCACACUGGAACUGAGACACGGUCCAGACUCCUACGGGAGGCAGCAGUAGGGAAUCUUCCGCAAUGGGCGAAAGCCUGACGGAGCAACGCCGCGUGAGUGAUGAAGGUCUUCGGAUCGUAAAACUCUGUUAUUAGGGAAGAAAAUAUGUGUAAGUAACUGUGCACAUCUUGACGGUACCUAAUCAGAAAGCCACGGCUAACUACGUG